UCCUCCCACAUCCCAAAAACAUGCAUUAAUUGGAGACUCUAAAUUGCCCGUAGGCAUGACUGUGAGUGCGAAUGGUUGUUUGUUUCGAUGUGCCCUGCGAUUGGCUGGCAACCAGUUCAGGGUGUACCCCGCCUCCUGCCCGAUGACAGCUGGGAUAGGCUCCAGCACGCCCGCGACCCUUGUGAGGAGAAGCGGCUCAGAAAAUGGAUGGAUGGAUGGAUGUUUUGUCGUCAUCCGCGGAGAUUGAAAAAUGUAACGUGCGUAUUUUGACAAACUCAGCUCCGUUCCCGACACUUUCUUGGGGUCUAACGGCAGACACCUGGCUGUUAUUCAUCAGCGGGGGCACCAAGAGUUUUAAGUUGAACCGUCGGUCUUUCUCCAUCUUGGAAUCAAGUGCAACACUUCGGCUGGACAACUGUCGUACUUAGCAGCAGCCGAUAGUUGAGGCCCAUGCCCAUGAAGAGGAAGAAACUGGAGACGAUGAGGAGGAUCCCGCAGCCCUGUUACCUCCGCCGUACGUGACCGCUAACAUGAUGGAGGAGAUCCAGGAGACCUGGCUGCUGGUCACGUUGAAGAUCACUUCAAUCUCCUUGAAGAAGACUGUGAUGGACUUGGGGAACGCAUAAGAGAAGCCAAUAGAGAU